GUAGGUGGCAAGCGUUGUCCGGAAUUAUUGGGCGUAAAGCGCGCGCAGGCGGUUCUUUAAGUCUGAUGUGAAAGCCCACGGCUCAACCGUGGAGGGUCAUUGGAAACUGGAGAACUUGAGUACAGAAGAGGAAAGCGGAAUUCCACGUGUAGCGGUGAAAUGCGAAGAGAUGUGGAGGAACACCAGUGGCGAAGGCGGCUUUCUGGUCUGUAACUGACGCUGAGGCGCGAAAGCGUGGGGGGCAAACAGGGAUUAGAUACCCUGGUAGUCCACGCCGUAAACGAUGAGUGCUAAGUGUUAGGGGGUUUCCCGCCCCUUAGUGCUGCAGCUAACGCAUUAAGCACUCCGCCUGGGGAGUACGGCCGCAAGGCUG
rnacentral:rRNA from 1 species